GUGCUCACUUCAGCAGCACAUGAACUAAGAUAGGAGUGACACAGAGAAGAUUAGCAUGGAUGGCCUCUGUGUCAAGACGACACUCAAAUUCAUUCCAUUUUUAAAUUAUUU
ensembl:snRNA U6 U6 spliceosomal RNA